rnacentral:rRNA from 1 species
AGCAGCCGCGGUAAUUCCAGCUCCAAUAGCGUAUAUUAAAGUUGUUGCAGUUAAAAAGCUCGUAGUUGAAUUUCGGGACCAAUCUGCCGGUCGUGCCUCUGGUACGCACUGGUUUUAUUGGUUUCUCCCUUCUGACGAACCAUGAUGUCAUUAAUUUGGUGUCAUGGGGAAUCAGGACUGUUACUUUGAAAAAAUUAGAGUGUUUAUAGCAGGCUCACGCUUGAAUACAUUAGCAUGGAAUAAUGAAAUAGGACGUUUGACCCUAUUUUGUUGGUUUCUAGGAUCGACGUAAUGAUUAAUAGGGAUAGUUGGGGGCAUUAGUAUUCAAUUGUCAGAGGUGAAAUUCUUGGAUUUAUUGAAGACUAACUACUGCGAAAGCAUUUUACCAAGGAUGUUUUCAUUAAUCAAGAACGAAAGUUAGGGGAUCGAAGACGAUCAGAUACCGUCGUAGUCUUAACCAUAAACUAUGCCGACUAGGGAUCGGAUGAUGUUAAUUUUUUAAUGACUCAUUCGGCGCCUU